CAUAGGUUAAUGAGGCGAACCGGGGGAACUGAAACAUCUAAGUACCCCGAGGAAAAGAAAUCAACCGAGAUUCCCCCAGUAGCGGCGAGCGAACGGGGAGGAGCCCAGAGCCUGAAUCAGUGUGUGUGUUAGUGGAAGCGUCUGGAAAGGCGCGCGAUACAGGGUGACAGCCCCGUACACAAAAAUGCACAUAUUGUGAGCUCGAUGAGUAGGGCGGGACACGUGGUAUCCUGUCUGAAUAUGGGGGGACCAUCCUCCAAGGCUAAAUACUCCUGACUGACCGAUAGUGAACCAGUACCGUGAGGGAAAGGCGAAAAGAACCCCGGCGAGGGGAGUGAAAAAGAACCUGAAACCGUGUACGUACAAGCAGUGGGAGCCUCUUAAUGGGGUGACUGCGUACCUUUUGUAUAAUGGGUCAGCGACUUAUAUUCUGUAGCAAGGUUAACCGAAUAGGGGAGCCGAAGGGAAACCGAGUCUUAACUGGGCGUUAAGUUGCAGGGUAUAGACCCGAAACCCGGUGAUCUAGCCAUGGGCAGGUUGAAGGUUGGGUAACACUAACUGGAGGACCGAACCGACUAAUGUUGAAAAAUUAGCGGAUGACUUGUGGCUGGGGGUGAAAGGCCAAUCAAACCGGGAGAUAGCUGGUUCUCCCCGAAAGCUAUUUA
rnacentral:rRNA from 1 species